AUGGUGUGCCAAAACUUGAGGAAAUGAGCACUCAUGGGAUCCCUCAAUCUGCUUCAUGAGGUAUUGGCUACAAUGUACCACACCUGAAAUGUUUCUACACCAAUGCAUGCAGCAUGAGGAACAAACAAGAGGAACUCAAAGCUUUGGUCCAGUCCCAGAGAUUUGACAUCAUUGGCAUAAGUGAAACCUGUUGGAUGGUUACGGGCUCUUCAGGAGGGAUAGGCAGGGCAGAAGAGGCCGAGGGGUGGCACUGUAUGUAAUAGAAGGGUUAGAAUGUAUGGAGCUCAUAGUUGGCAAUG